UGGUUCCGCGCCGACAAUGUAGCGGGGCUCAAGCACACCACCGAAGACGCGGCAGUAGCUUUGCUACUGGGUAGGAGAGCGUCCCAUGCGGGGCGAAGCGGCGGCGCAAGCCCGCCGUGGACCGCAUGGGAGUGAGAAUGCAGACAUGAGUAGCGAAAGACGGGUGAAGAUCCCGUCCGCUGGACGACCAAGGGUUCCAGGGCCACGUUCAUCGUCCCUGGGUGAGUCGGGUCCUAAGGCGAGGCCGACAGGCGUAGUCGAAUGGACGAACGGGUCGAUAUUCCCGUACCGGCAUGCAACCGGCAAAACCGAAUCCGCGAGUACUAACCUCCGGGUCCGGGCUCACGUCUCCUUCGGGAGCCGGAUGCCCUGGCCUGUUGGGACCGUAACGGUAGUAGGUCAGCGCGGGAGUGACGCAGAAGGGUAGCCGGCCGCGGAGGUGGUCUUCCGUGGUCAAGCACGCAGCCCGUCCCACAGGCAAAUCCGUGGGGCGCGUGGGCGAGGUGCGAUGAUGGGCGCCGCAGGGCGCGAUAUCCGGUGAUCCCGGCUGCCGAGAAAAGCUUCGGCGUGAGGCGGCAUGCCGCCCGUACCCCAAACCGACACUGGUGGUCAGGUAGAGAAUACCAAAGCGAUCGAGCGAAUCCUGGUCAAGGAACUCGGCAAAUCACUCCCGUUCCUUCGGUUUAAGGGAGACCCCCGAUGGUGAAGCGGCUUGCCCGCGGAGCUUUUGGGGGUGGCACAGACCAGGGGGUAGCGACUGUUUACCAAAAACACAGGAGCGUGCGAAGGCGCAAGCCGCUGUAUACGCUCUGACGCCUGCCCGGUGCCGGAAGGUUAAGAGGAUCCGUCAGGCCUCGGCCGAAGCGGUGAAUUCAAGCCCCGGUAAACGGCGGUGGUAACUAUAACCAUCCUAAGGUAGCGAAAUUCCUUGUCGGGUAAGUUCCGACCUGCACGAAUGGCGUAACGACUUCCCCACUGUCUCGACCAGGAGCUCGGCGAAAUUGCAGUACGAGUAAAGAUGCUCGUUAAGCGCAGAAGGACGAAAAGACCCCGGGACCUUUACUAUACCUUGGUAUUGGCAUUCGGUGUGGAUUGUGUAGCAUAGGCGGAAGGCUUCGAAGCCACGGCGCCAGCCGCGGUGGAGCCGCAAGGUGAAAUACCGCUCUGUUCGCAUUGGAUGUCUAACCUCGACCAGUCAUCCUGGUCAGGGACAGUGCCUGGCGGGUAGUUUAACUGGGGCGGUUGCCUCCCAAAGAGUAACGGAGGCGCUCAAAGGUUCCCUCAGCCCGGUUGGCAAUCGGGUGGCGAGUGUAAGUGCACAAGGGAGCUUGACUGCGAGACUGACGGGUCGAGCAGGGACGAAAGUCGGAACUAGUGAUCCGGUGCCGGUGUACGGACGCGGCAUCGCUCAACGGAUAAAAGGUACCCCGGGGAUAACAGGCUGAUCAUUCCCAAGAGUCCAUAUCGACGGGAUGGUUUGGCACCUCGAUGUCGGCUCGUCGCAUCCUGGGGCUGGAGCAGGUCCCAAGGGUUCGGCUGUUCGCCGAUUAAAGCGGCACGCGAGCUGGGUUCAGAACGUCGUGAGACAGUUUGGUCUCUAUCCUCUGCGCUCGUCGGAAUGUUGAGGAGGCCUGCCCAUAGUACGAGAGGACCUGGGUGGACGAACCUCUGGUAUGCCGGUUGUCACGCCAGUGGCACGGCCGGUUGGCUACGUUCGGAAGGGAUAACCGCUGAAAGCAUCUAAGCGGGAAGCCUGCUCCAAGAUAAGCAUUCCAUAGGACUACGGGUCCUUGAAGUCCCCAUGCAGAACACGUGGUUGAUAGGCCGGACGUGGAAGCCCCGCGAGGGGUGGAGCCGACCGGUACUAACGGACGAAAGGCAACACAAU
rnacentral:rRNA from 1 species